rnacentral:rRNA from 1 species
GUACGGGAGGCAGCAGUGGGGGAUAUUGCGCAAUGGGCGAAAGCCUGACGCAGCGACGCCGCGUGGGUGAUGAAGGCCUUCGGGUCGUAAAGCCCUGUCGAGGGGGACGAAUCGGUUGCGACCUAACACGUCGCGAUCUUGACGGUACCCCUAAAGGAAGCACCGGCUAACUCCGUGCCAGCAGCCGCGGUAAUACGGAGGGUGCUAGCGUUGUUCGGAAUCACUGGGCGUAAAGCGCGUGUAGGCGGUCCGUUAAGUCUGAUGUGAAAGCCCGGGGCUCACCCCCGGAAGUGCAUUGGAAACUGACGAACUCGAGUCCCGGAGAGGAGGGUGGAAUUCCUCCUGUAGCGGUGAAAUGCGUAGAUAUCAGGAGGAACACCGGUGGCGAAGGCGGCCCUCUGGACGGUGACUGACGCUGAGACGCGAAAGCGUGGGGAGCAAACAGGAUUAGAUACCCGGGUAGUCCC